AGCUGAGCUGUAUUAGGCAACCACAGUCUGGGCUGCAUUUCUUAACUGCUGAAUAACAUAUCACAGGUGCAGGAUUAGUGCUGCCUACGGUGCUGGGCUUUUUAGUGGAAACCCCUAGCAAUUCUGUGCCUCCUCCUCAUGUCUCUCAUCCUAGGGAGCCUGGCAACCAUAUAUCAAGCGUACAGAAAUCAAAACAAACUUCCUUGAUAACAUGCUUUUGCGAAGUGCAGGAAAAUUAAAUGUGGGCACCAAGAAAGAGGAUGGUGAGAGUACAGCCCCCACCCCCCGUCCAAAGGUCUUGCGUUGUAAAUGCCACCACCAUUGUCCAGAAGACUCAGUCAACAAUAUUUGCAGCACAGACGGAUAUUGUUUCACGAUGAUAGAAGAGGAUGACUCUGGGUUGCCUGUGGUCACUUCUGGUUGCCUAGGACUAGAAGGCUCAGAUUUUCAGUGUCGGGUAAGGACACUCCCAUUCCUCAUCAAAGAAGAUCAAUUGAAUGCUGCACAGAAAGGAACGAAUGUAAUAAAGACCUACACCCUACACUGCCUCCAUUGAAAAACAGAGGU
rnacentral:lncRNA from 1 species